AAUGAACGCUGGCGGCAUGCCUUACACAUGCAAGUCGAACGGCAGCAUGACCUAGCUUGCUAGGUUGAUGGCGAGUGGCGAACGGGUGAGUAAUGCAUCGGAACGUGCCUUUUAGUGGGGGAUAACGUAGCGAAAGUUACGCUAAUACCGCAUAUUCUCUGAGGAGGAAAGCAGGGGACCUUCGGGCCUUGCGCUAGAAGAGCGGCCGAUGUCGGAUUAGCUAGUUGGUGAGGUAAAGGCUCACCAAGGCAACGAUCCGUAGCGGGUCUGAGAGGAUGAUCCGCCACACUGGGACUGAGACACGGCCCAGACUCCUACGGGAGGCAGCAGUGGGGAAUUUUGGACAAUGGGCGCAAGCCUGAUCCAGCCAUGCCGCGUGAGUGAAGAAGGCCUUCGGGUUGUAAAGCUCUUUCGGCUGGGAAGAAAUCGCACCCUCUAAUACAGGGUGUGGAUGACGGUACCAGCUUAAGAAGCACCGGCUAACUACGUG
rnacentral:rRNA from 1 species